rnacentral:rRNA from 1 species
UGGGGAAUCUUGGACAAUGGGCGCAAGCCUGAUCCAGCCAUGCCGCGUGAGUGAUGAAGGCCCUAGGGUUGUAAAACUCUUUCGUGGGGGACGAUAAUGACGGUACCCCAAGAAGAAGCUCCGGCUAACUUCGUGCCAGCAGCCGCGGUAAUACGAAGGGGGCUAGCGUUGUUCGGAUUUACUGGGCGUAAAGCGCGUGUAGGCGGGCUGGAAAGUUGGUGGUGAAAUCCCGAGGCUCAACCUCGGAACUGCCUCCAAAACUUCCAGCCUGGACUCAAGUAGAGGCAAGUGGAAUUGCGAGUGUAGAGGUGAAAUUCGUAGAUAUUCGCAGGAACACCAGUGGCGAAGGCGACUUGCUGGACUUGUAGUGACGCUGAGACGCGAAAGCGUGGGGAGCAAACAGGAUUAGAUACCCUUCUAGUCCCUGAGCGGGCUGGCAAGGCGCAU